UCACGCCACUGAACUCCAGCCUGGGCAGCAAGAGCAAAACUCUGUCUCAAAAAAAAAAAAAGGAUUCUUGAAGGGGUAGUGGAGUUUCUGCACCUCAACAGAAUUCCCCCUUCUCCAGUGAAAAAAGUAUACAAGCAAAACCACGAAAAAGGUAGAUUUACAAAACUAUUCAAAUGUUUCUUAUUUGUAAUAGCAAAAAAGAACCAAAAUUCCCACCGACAAUAUCCUGGAACAGCACCCAACUUACAACAAGAAUAAGGAAUACUGCCACACCACUGCAGAGUGGCCUCUAGGAUCCCCUGUUAACUUAAAAAGAUUAAGGUAUGGAACAAAGUUUGUGACUAUUCUACCAAUGAACCAAGACAGAGGACAACCCAGAAGACUGCACAGGGAGAGCAGAGCUGGCACAGCUUGGAGUCAGGGUUGGGAGUCAGGUGUGGUCAAGACAUGAAGCUACUAACGUCUGCAUGGUCGAUAUCAUGGACAGCCUUAAAUACAGAAUUAAGGAGCUUGGAUUUUAACCUGUAUUCCGAGUUUAAAAAAAUACUGUUUCUGACAAGUACUCUCAGAUUUUGGGAGUGGAAUUUUUAUAAAAGAUAUUUUAAAGGCUGUAAUGCUCCCGCCCCCAAAUUUAAAACGUGUUCUAGUUUUGUCAGCUUAUCCAAGUCUCCAGCAUCUUGCGAGGUUCCCCUAUGAACCCAUGGAGUAUCCAUAUUUUUAACUACUUCAAUUUUGGUAUAGCAGCAUGGCAUGGCCCCAAGGUCCAUGAUCUUGCAUGUUCCUGCAUAAAUGCUCUCCUUUCAGAGCUCCAAGUGUCUGCAUUCAAACAGUGACUAUCCAACUUUUUAAUAGCUGUUUUUCGGCAGAAAGAUGACAUAACUUCUAUGAGCCUCAGUUUUCUUAUUUUUCAAAUGGGGAUUGGGACUGUAUUCAUUGAAAUAGUGCUGAGACCCCUUCCAUGCAUAAAAAUAAUGUGGUAUCUUCAGUGUAAGAUGAAAAAAAAGUCUUCCUUUUGGUUUUUGAAGGUCUUGGAGUUUAUUAUCUAUAUCAGGUUGAACACAUCACUUGGUUAUUAGAACGUUAGAUCAUGUCCACAAUCAGAGCUCCUAUUGGAUUAUUCCAAACCCUGAGUUGCAGACAACAUUAGACAUGACAAGGAAUUCAAGCAAAAGGGAAACAGAAAACACUGUGCUUUUUCAAUGAAUCCAAUGUAGGAAUUGAGCUCCACCUUUUUCAGGAAUAGCUGCAAUUGUGGAAUCAAACAGAAGUCCCUAAAUCUCUGCAGUUUUCUGCUUGAAUGUUUCAUUUUCUAGGUCUCAGUGUAAGUUUCUAUUAUUUUGUGCCCACAUGACCUGAAUGUGACCUGACCAUUUCUGAGUAUGAGGAAUUCAAUUUUAUUGUCCAGAUAUACAGAGAGAAACAAGUUCACUGUUGAUACAAAGAGCAAAAAUGUCAAGAGAAGAGGCACUGGUGUGCAUACGUCAGAUGCCCCACUCUGCAAAAAUCAAUAAUAUCUAAGUAAUAAGAUUCCUCGGGACAUGACCCUCCAGCCACAUUCAUCUGAAGAGAGUACAGAUGUGAGGGGGAAAACUCCUGAUAACAUGUGCUGUCCCAAAGGUUUGUGUGAGUGGAGGAUAAACUAAAGAUACGUGUUUGCUGCAGUUAAGUACAUCAUUUUCUGGCAUAGCAGAGAGUAGCCAGAUUCACAGCAGAAACGACAAAGUCAUUGACUCUAAAUUAGAGGACACUUAAGUUUAGCUCCUACAUUGCUACCUGCAUUCUCUUCACAAUUCACAAUCUAUUUCAUCACAGACAGAGGUGAGACUCAUCUUCAAUACUGUAUCUCACACAACACCCACUGCUCUGUAUCAAGGCUGUAAAGGCAGAAUUCCAUUUCUCAUGCAAAUGAGGGAAACAGGAAAAGAAUACACGUGUGUAAACGAUUUACAGAGAGAAACAGCAAGUUUACUCUUGAUAUGAAGACUAAAAAUAUCAAGGGGAGAUGCUGGUGUGCAUGUGUCAGAUGCCCCACACUAUAUGUCAACAAUAUCCAAGUAACAGGAUCCCUUGAGACAUGACCCCUCCAGCCACAGUCAUCUGAAUACAGUGCAAAUGUGAGGAAAAACCUUCUUGGUGGGUAGAAGAUAAGCAAAAAACAUGUGUUAGCAGCCAUUAAUUACAUCAUUUUCUGGCAUAAGAGAAAGCAACUAAAUUCAUGAUAGAAACAACAAAGUCAUUGACUUCAAAAAAAAAAGAACAAUGAAGUUUAGCUCCUAUAUUUGCUAACUGAAUUUUCUUCAUAAUUGAAAAUCCACUUCACAGGUAGAGGUGAAACUUAUCUUCAAUACUCGAUCUCACACAGCACCUGCUGCCUUGUAUCUAGGCAGUAAGGGCAGAAUUCUAUUUCUCUUGCAAAUGAGAAAAAAGGGAAAAGGAUUUCCAUUCACUUCACCCAUGUGCUCCUUAACUACUUAUGGCAUGCAUACAGUGGGCUGCAACUGUGCAGACAAUCAAACCCAUCACCUCUUUUCCUCAUCUUUCUCACAGUGACUCAUGACUCAUGGUAUGACCACACUCAUGGCUGGCUACAAAUGAGAGGAAAAAAGAAUGUCCUGAUAGUAGCAUGUGAGGAACUGCAUCAGGUAACCAUCUUUCCCCAAAAUUCACUCUCUUUCACACCAUUUCACAGCUAUCUUCCCUCCAUUAAUGGUUCUAUUCCACUGUCCCAUUCAAAGGUUAUCCCAGUGAGAAGAUCAAGGAUGGUCGCUGUCUGCCUUUUCUUCAUUGUUCCAGUUAGGUGGCAAAUGUUAUUUAUUCAAUUUUCUUAUUUCCUCUGGCAACAUUUCAUGCAUGUAUUGAGGAAGAGCUUAACAUAUACAUGCUGAGGGCUAUCAACAAUUCUAGGGAAAAUUUUGAUGAAUUCUAGAAACCCAGAGGCAGUGUCAGGAAUGGGUGGGAAGGAAGAUGGGGCUUUGAGGGGGCUUCAAAAAUGGAGCAAGAAGUAUUUAUAUAUUCCAAGAUUGACAGGAAAUUGGAUUCCAGCAAGGAUGGAGCACGUCAAUAUUCAAAGACAUGCACAGAAAGGGAUGGGUGCCAUCAAAAGUGGCUGAAAUAGAGCUUAAAGUUCAGUCAAUGUGCAUUGGGGCAGCUAAAGGCCGGGCUCUCCUCAAGGGGAACCAAGGUUUGAGUUUUACAGGAUGAGAAGAGAGGAGUAUAUCUCUGUGUCUGAACUCAGGUGGCAGUUUUCGUCUAUUGUGAAACCUACUGUUCUAGCCUCUCUUGGUUUUCUUGUCCCUUGCUCAGAGUGGUUGGGACAAUCCCACUCUAAAGAACUGUUUUGCAAAUCUCACAAAGAGUCAGUUAAUAACCAUUUAUGGGGUAGAGAAGAAAAUAAAAGAGGGAAAACUGGGGAAUCUAUCAUUUCUGUUCUAGUCCAUUUACAUGGGUGAUAUACAAAAUUAGGAAAGCUGGUCAUUUUGGUUGAAAGAUAGCUCUAUCUUAGAGAUUUAAGUUGGAUUAAAAGAGGUAAAAUACACCAUAAUCAUUUCCCACUCACCAUCUAUGCUGUUGCUGUUUCUUCUGCUAGAAAAAUUUAUGGUGUCCUUGCAUUGAUUUGACUAAUUCUUUACAAAACAGCUUAAAAUUAUCUAGCAUAUAAUCUCCCUAAAAAUUCAUACCCUCAGACUAAUCACACACACACAAAAGUCACACAAACUCAAACUGAGGGACAUUUGAUAAAAAUCCUGAUGAGUGACAAGGUCAUAAAAGAUAAAGACUGAGGAAUCAUUGCAGACCCAAGUAGACUAAGGGACAUGAUGGCUUAAAGAAAUGUGAGAUUUGUGACUAGAACCUGGAACUAAAAAAGAUAAUACUUGGAAAAACAGUGGAAAUCUGAAUAGUCUGCAGUUUCUCUGAGAGUAUUGUACCAAUGUGAAGGUUUUAGGUUGACUAAGGUACCAUGGUUCUAUAUGAUGGUAGCAUUAAGGAAAGCUGGGGAAUGUGUAUAUAGAAACUCUGUACCAUCUCUGCAGCUCUUUGGUAAUCCAAACUUAUUUAAAAAUAAAACUAUUCAAGAAAGAAUGAAAAAAAUUCACUACUUCAUAAAAGCCUUUUCUGAAAUAAUUAAUAUCCUAAAGUUAUAUGUUCCCGUAGCUCUCAAAACUUGUUUUCUUUUUUAAUAUUCCUUGCCAUUUAUUUAUGUCAGUGUUGGUUUGCCAGCCCAUGUUCCUCUAGUUUUCAGGCUAAGAAUGUAUCAAGGACACUCAGAUCUAACGGCAUUUAAACAGUCUAUUUGCCUCUGAAGAGCAUUCUCUUAUAAACACUAUUCUCUAUCAUUUAUUCAGAUUACACGUUUGCCAGACGAGCAUAACAAACUCAUUCUCUUCCUAUUUCUCAUUUUUUCUUUCCUCCUCAUCUUCAUUCUCUGCUGCCACUGUUUGUUUUCUUUUUCCCCAUUGUAUUUACCCUCAUGUCCUCUCUCUUGUGGUUCUCAUCCUAGGACAUAAGAGCCAGUGUAGAGAUAAUCAGCCAAUUACUGGGCAAGAAACUAAGCCCAGAAGAACUGAACUCAAGUCAUUAAGCACACAUCCUUCCAGACCAUGAAAGAUAAUAAAAUGAGCAACUAUUCCUUACCAUUUAUGCCUGAGGUUGCAAUUUUUUGAAUUUCUGCAAUCAGACCUUGGCAAUGACUUGAACAGUAGGAUAUAACUCCCACAUGCUUAGCAUUCCAAUAAUGGAACACUAGCCAUAAAUGGGUACUUGAUAACUAUAUGCAUCACAGUAAAGGAUGGUUCAUGAGAAAAGGUAAGAGUUCUAGUAUUAGGAUGUGAAAGAAAUAAAGACUGAAUUUCCCUUCUUCUAUUGAUACACUAAGACAUGAGACAAGAAAAAUAUUUGACUUUAUAAAAUAACAUAAGUGGCUCAUGACUUUGAAUGACUAAGAAAUGGAGUAUUUUUAAGAUUAUGAAGAAGACUUCUGAAAACAGAGCAUUGUUAAUGAAUAGUGUAUAUCUUGGGAAACCAUCUGGCCUCUGGCCACACUCUUUUUUUUUUUUUUUUUUUGAGA
rnacentral:lncRNA from 1 species